rnacentral:rRNA from 1 species
GAAACCAGGAUAGAUACCCUGUUAUACUAGAUUUAAAUAAGAUUAACCUCGAGUAGUAAUAAUUAAUUAGUUUGAAAUUCAAAGAAUUUGGCGGUGUUUUAGUCUAGUUAGAGGAACCUGUUUUGUAAACGAUACUCCACGUAAUAUCUUUCUUAUCUUGGUUAUAAUUAGUAUACCAUCAUUAUUAGAUAAUUCUAUUCGUUAAAAGAAUUAUUAAAACUGGAUUUACUUCAAGUAUAUUAGAUCAUGGUGCUGUUAAUAGGUAAGUUUUAAUGGGUUACAAUAAAAUUAAUUUACUACGGAAAUACAGCUGAAAUGCUGUAGUAAAGGAGGAUUUAAUAGUAAUAAAAAUUCAGUAUGGUUUUAUGAGAUUAGCUCUAGAAUGUGUACAUAUCGGCCGUC